rnacentral:tRNA from 2 species
GCUCCCAUAGUGUAGACCGGCCAAUCAUUCUAGCCUUUCGAGCUAGGGACUCGGGUUCGAAUCCCGAUGGGAGCA